CAAAAUCUCACUUGCUGCCAGCAGUAGCUUUGCUAUGGAUCCUGCUUGGCUCUCUCUGAAACAAAUAUGUUCCUACAGCCAAAGCCACAGAAAUUUGGAUAGAAGUCUUGCAAGGUAGCAAUUUGAGCAAGAGUGUUGUGCCAUCUGUUUGGAGGGUAGCAGUGAAACACCUGUCAUGAAUUCUGCUUGGAACGGUGUUGGGAAUGACGCUGAAUGUGGCAUGGAAAGGAAAUCUUCUCUGGAGGAAAUGCACGUUGGCCACAUAGAAGGCAAGCACUAAGCCCUACGUGCUGGGAUGUGAGUGAGGCAGUGAUACAAAAGAAGCUCAUAUUAGGACACAGCAUUCAUCCUGCCACUAAAAAGAGACAAAGACUGCCACCUUCAGAUGAGAUGGAUCUGCUUUCCAAGCCAAGCUGUCAAAAACCAGGGGUGUUAUUUCCGCAGAAUGCUCUCUUUCACACAGUAAAGCCACUGUUGUCAUCUGGUAAACAGUCAGAGUGCAAAUAAGAAAUCCAUUUGGCUUGUAAAUGCUGAGAUGGUUUUCAACUUUCGAUACUUUGUCCUCAUAAAUCAUCUGGGCUUUCA
rnacentral:lncRNA from 1 species